rnacentral:rRNA from 1 species
UAAUACGUAGGUGGCGAGCGUUGUCCGGAAUUACUGGGUGUAAAGGGCGUGUAGGCGGGGCGGCAAGUCAGAUGUGAAAUACCUCGGCUUAACUGAGGUGCUGCAACUGAAACUGUCGUUCUUGAGUGUCGGAGAGGAAAGUGGAAUUCCCAGUGUAGCGGUGAAAUGCGUAGAGAUUGGGAGGAACACCAGUGGCGAAGGCGGCUUUCUGGCCGAUAACUGACGCUGAGGCGCGAAAGCAUGGGGAGCAAACAGGAUUAGAUACCCUGGUAGUCCAUGCUGUAAACGAUGGAUACUAGGUGUAGGAGGUAUCGACCCCUUCUGUGCCGGAGUUAACACAAUAAGUAUCCCACCUGGGGAGUACGGCCGCAAGGUUGAAACUCAAAGGAAUUGACGGGGGCCCGCACAAGCAGUGGAGUAUGUGGUUUAAUUCGAAGCAACGCGAAGAACCUUACCAGGGCUUGACAUCCCUCUGCCAGUCUUAGAGAUAAGACUUUUCUUCGGAACAGAGGAGACAGGUGGUGCAUGGUUGUUGUCAGCUCGUGUCGUGAGAUGUUGGGUUAAGUCCCGCAACGAGCGCAACCCCUGUCCCAAGUUGCCAACGGGUAAAGCCGGGAACUCUUGGGAGACCGCCGGCGACAAGCCGGAGGAAGGUGGGGAUGACGUCAAGUCAUCAUGCCCUUUAUGCCCUGGGCUACACACGUGCUACAAUGGCCGGUACAGAGGGUAGCCAAGGCGCGAGCCGGAGCGAAUCCCCCAAAGCCGGCCCCAGUUCGGAUCGCAGGCUGCAACCCGCCUGCGUGAAGUAGGAAUCGCUAGUAAUCACGGGUCAGCAUACCGUGGUGAAUACGUUCCCGGGCCUUGUACACACCGCCCGUCACACCACGAAAGUUUGCAACACCCGAAGCCGGUGGCCUAACCCGCAAGGGAGGGAGCCGUCGAAGGUGGGGCAGAUGAUUGGGGUG